rnacentral:rRNA from 1 species
GAUGAACGCUGGCGGCGUGCCUAAUACAUGCAAGUCGAGCGAACGGACGAGAAGCUUGCUUUUCUGAUGUUAGCGGCGGACGGGUGAGUAACACGUGGAUAACCUACCUAUAAGACUGGGAUAACUUCGGGAAACCGGAGCUAAUACCGGAUAAUAUUUUGAACCGCAUGGUUCAAAAGUGAAAGACGGUCUUGCUGUCACUUAUAGAUGGAUCCGCGCUGCAUUAGCUAGUUGGUAAGGUAACGGCUUACCAAGGCAACGAUGCAUAGCCGACCUGAGAGGGUAAUCGGCCACACUGGAACUGAGACACGGUCCAGACUCCUACGGGAGGCAGCAGUAGGGAAUCUUCCGCAAUGGGCGAAAGCCUGACGGAGCAACGCCGCGUGAGUGAUGAAGGUCUUCGGAUCGUAAAACUCUGUUAUUAGGGAAGAACAUAUGUGUAGUAACUGUGCACAUCUUGACGGUACCUAAUCAGAAAGCCACGGCUAACUACGUG